GGAGAGGUGGCCGAGAGGUCGAAGGCGCACGCCUGCUAAGCGUGUGUAGGGCUAAAACUCUACCGAGGGUUCGAAUCCCUCCCUCUCCG
rnacentral:tRNA from 3 species